CUUGGUCUUUUCAUGAUAGCAAUCGCACAAUGAUCACAGUGAUAGUACAUAAUACAGUAUUGACUUUGUAAAAUACUCCGCCACUUAUUGCAAGUUUCCUGAAUUGAAUUUUGUUCAUGCGUAUAGAGUAAACUUGCCAACACAUGGUAGAUCUUAAAAUCUCUAAAAUAUUUUUUACAAAACCAGAAAUAUAUUUUUAUGCCAAAUUCAGGUGUGCAUUAAGACACUGGAACUAAGAAAGUACAGGUUGUAAAUAAAUUUUUAUGGUCAGCAUCAACUUCUAAGUGUUGGCACACAUAUUCUACAUCACCCUUAGUCAAUAAAUAGUGAAUGAACUCAAAUGCUUCUGGGCUAAAAAAAAAAUAUUCGAUAGGUUUAGCUCUGACCCAAAUAAGACAUUGGGAGGACUAGGGGCAUGCUGUAUUCUUCAAAGAUUAAGACUUGGCUUGACCUAGCUUUGGUUACUGCUCAUGGUUUAUUGGAACAUACCAUUGAUGUCAUCCAAAGACCUCAGGCAGGCUUUUGGAAUCACUUGAUUUUCUUAACCCACACACCCCUAUUAUAUUGAUUAUCUAGUUGGAUUGUAUCUCUCAGUGUGUGGUUCUGAGGGGUUUAUUUCCUCACUGUAUCUCAGACCCUUCUCUCAUUUUCCAUCCUCAUUAGGAUCCCCUAGCUCAGGCCCUCCUUGCCCACCUAAGGCUUUCCAGGAGUCUAGCACCCGCCCCUGAGGCCAUAACUGCAAACCGCCAUCCGUGCUGCUAUCUGAAACUUGCUAAUGCACAACCUUGAUCACCUGUCCCUCCAGUGCCUCCUGCAGGCCACCAUGAUGAGAACAGAUUUCUCCAUGUGCCCUUAGCUAGACCAUCCACCCAUCCUCCUUUUCUUACCUAAACUCUGCUCCUAACCAUAUUGUUCACCCCUGAGGGGCUGUAGCUGCCCCACACUGAGCCCCAGUACUUACUGUAUUUUCAGGUGGGUCCUUAUCCCACCCCACCUCUAAUCUCUGCCUACUGCAAUCUUACUUAUCCCUCCAUGUCCAACUUUCCUCUCCAAAGUCUU
rnacentral:lncRNA from 1 species